UUAAUCUUAAACCGGAGGGGGACAAAAAAAUACAUUUUAUUUCGGACUUCACUCUCCGGACUCCCGUUUCCACUUCCAGGUUCCAGGCUUCAGGCUUCAACCUUCAACUGACUGAAAAAGCUUAAAGUCUCUAACAAUGGCAAUUUCAGCGUCCCCAAUUUCCUCUCCACUACGCAUCAACAUCAACUCCAACCUUGCCGCUUCCUCUUCCAUUCUCCCUCUCUUCAACGUCUCCUACAACUCUGCCAAUCGCCUUUCAACCAUUAUCGUCUGCUCUCAGAAAUCAGGGAGUGGAUUGACUAGUGGAGAUAAGAAAGCAUUAUUCGAACGAUACGGUCUCGAUCCUAAUGACUUCUUAUCAGAACCCUCUCCUAAGUCGAGGAGAAAAAAGGAAGUGCAAAAGACAGGAAGAGGAAAACAAGUCAGGGUCCCUGAAGAGGAGGCUAAGCCACCGAGGACCACGCAUACGUUGCUUCAGGUGCUUGGAGGAAAGGCUAAAAGAAAGAAAUUGCUUUCACCAGCAGGAAUGGAUGUGCGGCCAAUGAUGGAAGUUGUAAAAGGUUCUGCCUUUGAUAUCUUGCAGGCAGCUGGUGGCUGUCCUGCAUCCUUAAGGCCAGGUUGCUGGUUGGACUUGUACAGUGGCACAGGAUCUGUUGGUAUUGAAGCUAUCAGCCGAGGAUGUUCUGAGGUGCAUUUUGUUGAGAUGGAUCCCUGGGUUGUUUCAAACGUUCUACAACCAAAUUUGGAGUCAACUGGGUUCCUUGACGUUUCAGUUAUACAUAUAGUUCGAGUUGAAAACUUUCUAGAACGGGCAGAAAAAUUUAUAGGAAGGCAUAGAAAAUUUGAUUUCAUUAGCGUCACACCUCCAUAUGCGGAAGUUGACUAUGGGAUACUGAUGGAUCAAAUUUCAAAAUCAGCCCUAGUUGGAGAAGAUACAUUUAUUGUGGUGGAAUAUCCUCUAAGAACUGACAUGAUGGAUUUGUGUGGAUGCCUUGUAAAGGUGGAGUCAAGUACAACAAAUAAUUGAUGUGAUAACACAUGCUAGUGGAAAUCAUAUACAAGAUAAACAGAAUGAGCCAAAAUGAGGAAUGGGACGAAUGGAGAUCCGUGGUGCUACUAAUUGCUUUUAAGUGGACGAGGCAGAGGACAUAGUUAUUAAGGUUGGGCAACUUCAGGGUCCAUUUGCUAGUUAAAUUUAGGGAGGGGCAAGAGUUGUUUUAUUUGCUCUAAACGAAGAGGGGUAAUUUACACAGUUACCACCACCACCACAACCAAAACCAUAACUUGCUUCUCUAUUUGACACCAAUUCCUGUUGAUCCAUAUGAGGCUUCUGUAGCACAAUAUGCAUCUCGACAGCGCUGAAGUUAAGAGUACAAAGAUGGAAAGAGAUUCCCAUACUUUGCAUUAGCUCUGAAAUCUAUCCAGUGUCAUUGUCAGUCUCUUACUACCCAUUUUGCACAUAUAUUGAAUAAGGUCAGUUGUCCUCCUGCCUCUUCAAUGCCUUUUCAGUCAUCUUCAUCGAAUGCAAUGGGUAUGCGAUCAGACUUCUGGCCAUGGACUUGACUUUUUACGUUUUUAUAGACAUUCUACAAUCUCAGACGCUAAGCGAUGCAAUGUUCUAAGCAUUUGGUAGACAUUCUGUAGAUGUUCUGUAGAUAUUCUUUCCAAAUCAAGAGCUAAUAUAUUUUCUGGCAAUGCUUUAGAGUUCCUUUCUAGUCCCAUUACUAAAAUCUUGGAUCUAUCCUAUAUGGCUCGGACUUUUUGCUAUGAAUAAUAGUUAUGUAAUGCCCAAUCAUAUUGGGGAAGUAUCAAGAGUUAGAUCCCAACCAUUGGAUCUAAACGUAACGAUGACAUUGAUGGAAACUACUCAAGUUGAAAACAGUGGGAUAAUGAAGGUGGGGUGAAGCGAUACAACACCUGGCGAAUAAAUAAGAAGAGGUGUCCUGUAUGCAGCACUAGAGGGCGUUUGCAUCAUUAUUAGAGUCGUAUUUAUUUUUAUCUAACUAAUUUAUAAUACGUUAUAAAUUUAUUGUUCUUGUAUUGAUAAUUAUUAUUUAUGUUUGCUACUUUAAUUAAAGUAAUUAUUUUUUGCUUUUCAUUCCUCUUAAUUAAUUUAAUUUUAUUAAUUAAAAUGUGUAAUAUAAAAAUGUCUAAUAACUUAAAAAAAUCUUAAACUUGGCAUUUAUUUGGAAAUUUAUCACAUUAUUUUAUUUUUAUUAUUUUUAACUUAAAUAAAUUUGUUACUAAAUCUAUCAUAUUAAUAUACUUAAUUAAAUAAAAAUUUUAUCAAUGUUGUUUUUAAAUAAUACUAUUAUCAAGGUUUUUGUUUAAAUAAAUACUAUUAAAAAUUUGUCUAUCUAAUUUGCUUACCUUAAAUAAAUUGAGGGUAUUAAGGGUAAAAUGUGAGAUGAAAGGAUGAGAAUCGAUAAAAUGCUAAGAGAUUAGAGGCUGUGAGUAGAUUUUGUGAGAGAAGGUUGGGUGUCAUAUCAAUUAUGUCUAGUCCGAUUAGACGAGUCUCUAAAAACCACAGAGAUUCUCUUUUUAGAGAUUCUAAAAGAGAAUGCUGAUACUUUAGUUAAUGGUAUCCACUUGCAUAUACACUGACAUAUGCCAAGAGAGAAUCGCAAACAAUAAGAUGACUUGUAACAAGUGAUGUACGAAAAUGGGACUGGGUAGCUUUUUCCAGUGUCUGAAAAGUUUCCAACAUAGAAACGAGAUGACACGGCUUAGAGAUGUUUCUGGGCCAUUUCCAAAAAUACGGGAAAUCAAACAUGCAUUUCUGGCGACGAACACCCGUAAGGAGGAGAGGAUCAAAGGACUUACCUGGCAGUGCAGUGCAGUGCAGUGCAGCGGCGAUAGAUGGCAGCAACGGCAACAACAGUGGCAGUGACGACGCAGAUAACUGAUCGAAGAUUUGGUCGGACACAUUUAGCAAUUUAUGGACCCAGGUGGGCUCAGAAGAAGAAAGUCAGAAAAGCCACUUUGAAUAGUAGAAGUUUGACCAAAAGUCUACAUGCUGAACACUAAUGGUGCAACC